rnacentral:rRNA from 1 species
UACGUAGGGGGCAAGCGUUGUCCGGAUUUAUUGGGCGUAAAGAGCGUGUAGGCGGCCUUACAGGUCAGCUGUGAAAACUCGAGGCUCAACCUCGAGACGUCGGUUGAAACCGUAUGGCUAGAGUCCGGAAGAGGAGAGUGGAAUUCCCGGUGUAGCGGUGAAAUGCGCAGAUAUCGGGAAGAACACCCGUGGCGAAGGCGGCUCUCUGGGACGGUACUGACGCUGAGACGCGAAAGCGUGGGGGGAGCGAACAGG